rnacentral:piRNA from 1 species
UAUUUUGAUGUCCCCCCCUUUCCUUUGGAGA